AACAUGCUACCUUAGAUCCACCUUUGGGAUGUAUUUGUGCUGUUUUGCUGGUAGAUCUCAGUUCACUCUGGUCAUGGGGUCUCCAGUACAACUCCCAGAUUGCAUUCAGCAACUUUAGCGGUUGUACAGUCAGAGGUGCUUGAGUCAUUGGCGUGUGAGAGCAAUAUACCUGCCUAUUAGCCUGUAAUGUUGUGAUGUGAACGGCCUGUGCUGUUUCUACCAUCAGGACUCGGCUGGUUUGCAGACAUG
ensembl:snoRNA SNORA53 small nucleolar RNA, H/ACA box 53